rnacentral:rRNA from 1 species
UACGUAGGGGGCAAGCGUUGUUCGGAAUCACUGGGCGUAAAGGGAGUGUAGGUGGAGAGACAAGUUAGGAGUUUAAACUAUGGGCUUAACCCAUAAUCUGCUCUUAAUACUGUUUCCCUUGAGUUUGGGAGAGGGCGAUGGAAUUCCAGGUGUAGCGGUGGAAUGCGUAGAUAUCUGGAAGAACACCAGCUGCGAAGGCGGUCGCCUGGCCCAUUACUGACACUGAGGCUCGAAAGCCGGGGGAG